CCAGCAUCACCCUCGUGGAAGACAAGCGGAUUGUCCGAUAUCUGGGACAACCACUACAGCGCUCUCAUUGGCCUGAGUGACGACAACAUCUACAACAUCCUCCUGGGCAUGGUGGAACAUGGCAGGGCUAGCUUGGGGCCAGCUGACCGAGGAGCAGCUGGCCGUUGUCACGGAUACCAUUUGGAUGGCUGUUUCUGGGGGGGCAAAGGAAAUUGCCUAGCAACCUGUUCAGUCAGCUGAUGAAUAUCUACUAGGCCUGUGUGUAAAUGAAUCCUGAACGACAAAACACAAGGUGUGCUGACGAAUCUUACAUGUAAACUCUUUAGAAGUAUUAUCAAGGUCCUUGACCACCUCAAUCUGCAUCAUAGUAUUCCCCGUGUCAUAAAGUACAAUUUUAGUAAUUUUAAGUUCACAAAUAACGAGUUGGUGACCCAUUACAAAAUUACCAGUAUGAUGAUAUUUUGGCACAGUUUCUUAAAUUCUCGUCUGACGUGCCUAACAUUAAGAAAAUGAUUUUCUUGGAAAAACUUGAUGUAAAUUAAAAUGGAACUUUCAGUCAAGUUCUUGGAGGUUAACUAGCAGGGGAUUCAGCUUAUAGGGAUUUUUUUUUCUUGCCUGAGCCCUCACGCUACAUAAACCCUGUUGAUGAACUCUGCACAGCCAGGAGUGCAUACCAGCUGGUGGAAUCCUUCAGCUUGUGUGCCUUCAUCCUUGUGACAGACCUGCCGUGUGAGUGAACGGACCUCCAGACACUGUCCUGCAAUCAUGCCGUGGCGGAUACAGGCCGAUGGUCUCGGGGUAGAAUCAACGGCCACAACUUCCAGGCAAACUGAACUGCAAACUGAUUUAUGAUUUGGCUUGUGACUGACUUGCGAUGGGCUGGUUCUCUACUCUCAAUAACCAGGUUUAGUCGGUAGCCAUUGAAGGGGCAAAGCAGAAUUUCACCAGGCUGUCCAGCAUGGUCACUUAUCGCAUCUACACCAACAAUGCCCAGGUGCCCCUCCCCUCAUAGCCAGCUGCGUCAUCUUC